GAGGAUUUGUUCUUUUCUAGCUGUGCUUAAACUCAGUGUUUAUUUCUAACAGCUAUCAUGAUGCUGCACUGUUUAUUACUUCUGUUUUCAGCAAUAGUGGAUGACAGUUCUCAGGAUGAAAUAACUGCAGUUAAAGCUAAAGUGCAUGUUCUGGAGGGAAACAGUGUUUCACUGUCAUGCACUUAUACAGCUGCUGUAGAAUCUCUGUACUGGUAUCGCCAAUACCCCAGAUCCAAACCUGAAUUCCUCGUCUUUGUUGUAAGCUCAGACAGGACAGAGGGACCGUUUACUGCUAAACACGAUAGAAAUAAUAAAACAGUAGUUCUGGCGAUCUCCGUCGCUGGAAUGACAGACUCUGCACUGUACUACUGUGCCCUGAGGCCCACAGUGACAGGAAACCCAUCAUCUCUGUGCAAAAACCUCACACGAAAUUUCAAUGUGGUACAAAGUACUAUAUUGAACCACUGACCCAUUUAUUAGGACACAUGAAAUAUAAUAUCAAACAUAUUUUCUUCUGCAGGUGACAGUUUUCAGUGCGGAAUUACAUCAGCAGCAAAUGCAGUGCAAGCUUUGGAGGGCAGCAGUGUCACACAGACUCUCAGCCCUUAAAAACAUUAAUUUCAGUACCUUCUGACCCCGUUUCAACAGACAGAAUUCAUAAACAAUUUCACACGUCCACAAGAUAAGACCCAAAAUGAGGGGAUUUUGCGUUUUUUUCCUUCUUCAUCUUUUUCCUGCCUGAUUACAUCAUCACAAAUGCUCCAGGCCCACAAUGAACACGUCUCCCCAUUGGACAUUUACAUACAUCUGCCAAUAAUCACAACGAAUACAGACACAAAAUGGACAUAUAUGCAAAUGCACACGUUUAAAAAAAUAAAACUUUGCAGUUAUGAUGUCUGCUUAGCUAGUAGCUCACUGGGUAGCUAGUUUGCUUUAGGAAUGUUUUGGACAACUAACAGACAUGGGUUCAAUUCCCUCCUUGGAAUCAAGCGAGCUUCAAACUCAUUACACUGGCUUGCUGGCUAACUAAACAUUCAAACUAUUUCUUCUGUAUCUGUAAAACUGUAAAUUUUAAACUCUACAAUUUUUUUUUAGUUUAACGUUAGCUACCUUGCUAAUGACACAACAGACCGAGUGUACAAUCUUAGUACAGACACCUCUGAAAUUAAGCAUCAAAAGUUAAUUGUGAUUUGGUCCGGUAGGUAACAUUCUCUAAAGAAUUACUUGAAACAAUUUAGGAAACAUUGGCUAGCAUUGCUUUGGAAUACAGCUGGUUCAAUUUGUCUGAGGUAAGAUAGUCAAUAUUGUUUCUGCUAACUUAGUGUCAUUUUGACAUCAAUACUUUUAAUUUCAGGCCUAGCUUUUGCCAGUUUGAAUGAAUGACUAUUUGACAGUGCUUUGUAUGUGUGAGUAACUUGGUAUUUGUGUACCAUGAAAAAGUGUUUAUAAUGCUGAUCUAAGAAUGAGUGUAUGACAAAUGUAAGCUGCCACUACCACCAGAGGCUGCAGGUGUGAAACCCCAGGGGGCGGGUAAUACAGGAGCUACAAGAACAAAACCUCUUCAGCACUGUGCUGUUAUGCCUCACUGAGAGAGAGGACACAUACAGGGACUUCAACACACUCUGACUACAAACACAAAUGCUUCCUUUAUUCAUUAUACUCUAUCACAGCAUAGGUGACAUACUAGGCGACUCCAUCCAUCAGAAUCACUUAGUACUCCUGAUGGAAAAUGAGAAAGCAUCAUUAUACUGUCAGUAUGAAACUACUGACCCUACUCCUUAUCUUUUUUGGUACAUCCAGCGAGAGAAUAAAUCACCAGAGCUCAUCCUCAGUAAUUAUAAUACCCAUGGAAGUGGUUAUAAAGAAGGACUCACAGCAGAUCAUGAGAAGUCAGACAAGACCUUUAAUCUGAAGAUAGCUGCAGCUGUGCUGUCUGACUCUGCCACAUACUACUGUGCUCUGAGGCCCACAUUGUGUGAGUCUGUUUCUCACCUCGUACCAAAACCUCCUUCCUCUGUGUCACACUCUAUAAGCUACACUUACCAGGCUUUCAAAAUGAGCUGAAAUUGAUUCACAGACUCAGAAUUAAUGUAUAGAAUUCUUCUUCGCUUAAAUAUUUUUCAUUCCAAUCUAAAUUGACUGCAGAUAAUGAGGGAAUAAACAAAACUCAAUGUGUAAAAUUGCACUUGUAUGGCAGUUCUUACUCUUCCAUUUUAUAGAAUAGUCAUAUUUUUCUUAACACACAAUUUCUCCCUUAACACACAAAGACGAGAAUUACGCUUAGUUUUCCAGGUUAAUGUUGUGUAUGAUACAGAGCCUGUCAGGGAUCUCUAUUCACACCAAUAAGUAUCUUCAUCUUAAUGAAAAGUGUAGUGCAGAGAAGGAAC